rnacentral:rRNA from 1 species
UACGGAGGGUGCAAGCAUUAAUCGGAUUUAUUGGGCGUAAAGGGCGCGUAGGCGGCUAUGAAAGUCAGAUGUGAAAUUCCGGGGCUCAACCCCGGAGCUGCAUUUGAAACUCCAUAGCUAGAGGAUAGACGGAGAAAACGGAAUUCCACAAGUAGCGGUGAAAUGCGUAGAUAUGUGGAAGAACACCGGUGGCGAAGGCGGUUUUCUAGUUUAGACCUGACGCUGAGGCGCGAAAGCAAGGGGAUCAAACAGG